AAAUUGAAGAGUUUGAUCAUGGCUCAGAUUGAACGCUGGCGGCAGGCCUAACACAUGCAAGUCGAGCGGUAGCACAGAGAGCUUGCUCUCGGGUGACGAGCGGCGGACGGGUGAGUAAUGUCUGGGAAACUGCCUGAUGGAGGGGGAUAACUACUGGAAACGGUAGCUAAUACCGCAUAACGUCGCAAGACCAAAGUGGGGGACCUUCGGGCCUCAUGCCAUCAGAUGUGCCCAGAUGGGAUUAGCUAGUAGGUGGGGUAACGGCUCACCUAGGCGACGAUCCCUAGCUGGUCUGAGAGGAUGACCAGCCACACUGGAACUGAGACACGGUCCAGACUCCUACGGGAGGCAGCAGUGGGGAAUAUUGCACAAUGGGCGCAAGCCUGAUGCAGCCAUGCCGCGUGUGUGAAGAAGGCCUUCGGGUUGUAAAGCACUUUCAGCGGGGAGGAAGGCGGUGAGGUUAAUAACCUCACCGAUUGACGUUACCCGCAGAAGAAGCACCGGCUAACUCCGUGCCAGCAGCCGCGGUAAUACGGAGGGUGCAAGCGUUAAUCGGAAUUACUGGGCGUAAAGCGCACGCAGGCGGUCUGUCAAGUCGGAUGUGAAAUCCCCGGGCUCAACCUGGGAACUGCAUUCGAAACUGGCAGGCUAGAGUCUUGUAGAGGGGGGUAGAAUUCCAGGUGUAGCGGUGAAAUGCGUAGAGAUCUGGAGGAAUACCGGUGGCGAAGGCGGCCCCCUGGACAAAGACUGACGCUCAGGUGCGAAAGCGUGGGGAGCAAACAGGAUUAGAUACCCUGGUAGUCCACGCCGUAAACGAUGUCGAUUUGGAGGUUGUGCCCUUGAGGCGUGGCUUCCGGAGCUAACGCGUUAAAUCGACCGCCUGGGGAGUACGGCCGCAAGGUUAAAACUCAAAUGAAUUGACGGGGGCCCGCACAAGCGGUGGAGCAUGUGGUUUAAUUCGAUGCAACGCGAAGAACCUUACCUGGUCUUGACAUCCACAGAACUUAGCAGAGAUGCUUUGGUGCCUUCGGGAACUGUGAGACAGGUGCUGCAUGGCUGUCGUCAGCUCGUGUUGUGAAAUGUUGGGUUAAGUCCCGCAACGAGCGCAACCCUUAUCCUUUGUUGCCAGCGGUUAGGCCGGGAACUCAAAGGAGACUGCCAGUGAUAAACUGGAGGAAGGUGGGGAUGACGUCAAGUCAUCAUGGCCCUUACGACCAGGGCUACACACGUGCUACAAUGGCAUAUACAAAGAGAAGCGACCUCGCGAGAGCAAGCGGACCUCAUAAAGUAUGUCGUAGUCCGGAUUGGAGUCUGCAACUCGACUCCAUGAAGUCGGAAUCGCUAGUAAUCGUAGAUCAGAAUGCUACGGUGAAUACGUUCCCGGGCCUUGUACACACCGCCCGUCACACCAUGGGAGUGGGUUGCAAAAGAAGUAGGUAGCUUAACCUUCGGGAGGGCGCUUACCACUUUGUGAUUCAUGACUGGGGUGAAGUCGUAACAAGGUAACCGUAGGGGAACCUGCGGUUGGAUCACCUCCUUACCUUAAAGAA
rnacentral:rRNA from 2 species